GCCUGUGUAUGUUGUGUAUGUCAGCGGCGGUAAAUCUGUAUCAGGACAGGUGAAUAGGCUCUCUGAAUGGCCCGAGUAGGCUCUGGACCCACUGCAUCCCUGAUGAAGGAAUGAACUCACUCACCUGUUCAGAUCAGCCAUUUUCAGUCCACCUUUUGCAUGCAUGAGGGUUGAAGGAAUCACACGUGGGACACGGUGACACCAUGCCGAACUUAAUUUAAGACAGUGGUAGGCGAUUAGGACUGAACCCAGUUCCGCUGGAGCUGUGCAGCAUCCACACUCUCAGCUGUGCCAUUUAGCCACCCAGUUACAGUGUUUAAUACUAUAAUGUUGUAUAAG